rnacentral:rRNA from 1 species
UACGGGGGGAGCAAGCGUUGUUCGGAUUUACUGGGCGUAAAGAGCUCGUAGGCGGCUUAGUAAGUCGGGUGUGAAAACUCUAGGCUCAACCUAGAGACGCCACCCGAUACUGCUAUAGCUAGAAUCCAGUAGGGGAGUGUGGAAUUCCCAGUGUAGCGGUGAAAUGCGCAGAUAUUGGGAGGAACACCAGCGGCGAAGGCGGCACUCUGGGCUGGUAUUGACGCUGAGGAGCGAAAGCGUGGGUAGCGAACAGG